GAAUCAGCGAUAACGCUGGGUAGAUAAUUUUCCUGCGACCGAAUACAUUAGCAUGGGAUAAUGGAAUAGGACCCUGACCUCCUAUUUUCAGUUGGUUUUGUUUACAGCGAGGUUAUAUCAGGGUAAUGAUUAAUAGGGAUAGUUGGGGGCAUUAAUAUUUAAUUGUCAGAGGUGAAAUUCUUGGAUUUAUGAAAGAUUAACUUCUGCGAAAGCGUUUGCCAAGGAUGUUUUCAUUAAUCAAGAACGAAAGUUAGGGGAUCGAAGACGAUCAGAUACCGUCGUAGUCUUAACCAUAAACGAUGCCGACCAGCGAUUAGGAGACGUUGAAUACAAAACACCGCUGUUAAUCCUUUCGGGGGUUAAUAGUUGGUGAAUGACUCCCCUAGCAGCUUGUGAGA
rnacentral:rRNA from 1 species